rnacentral:rRNA from 1 species
UACAGAGGGUGCGAGCGUUGUUCGGAAUUACUGGGCGUAAAGCGCGUGUAGGCGGCCUCCUCAGUCUGGUGUGAAAGCCCGGGGCUCACCCCCGGAAGUGCAUUGGAUACUGGGAGGCUGGAGUACCGGAGAGGAGGGUGGAAUUCCUGGUGUAGCGGUGAAAUGCGUAGAUAUCAGGAGGAACACCAAUUGCGAAGGCAGCUCGCUGGGACGUUACUGACGCUGAGACGCGAAAGCGUGGGGAGCAAACAGG